UACGGAGGGUCCAAGCGUUAUCCGGAAUCAUUGGGUUUAAAGGGUCCGUAGGCGGCUUUGUAAGUCAGUGGUGAAAGCCCAUCGCUCAACGGUGGAACGGCCAUUGAUACUGCAAGACUUGAAUUAUUGGGAAGCAACUAGAAUAUGUAGUGUAGCGGUGAAAUGCUUAGAUAUUACAUGGAAUACCAAUUGCGAAGGCAGGUUGCUACCAAUACAUUGACGCUGAUGGACGAAAGCGUGGGGAGCGAACAGG
rnacentral:rRNA from 1 species